AGUGAACGCUGGCGGUAGGCCUAACACAUGCAAGUCGAACGGCAGCACAGGAGAGCUCGCUCUCUGGGUGGCGAGUGGCGGACGGGUGAGGAAUACAUCGGAAUCUACUUUUUCGUGGGGGAUAACGUAGGGAAACUUACGCUAAUACCGCAUACGACCUACGGGUGAAAGCAGGGGACCUUCGGGCCUUGCGCGAUUGAAUGAGCCGAUGUCGGAUUAGCUGGUUGGCGGGGUAAAGGCCCACCAAGGCGACGAUCCGUCGCUGGUCUGAGGGGAUGAGCAGCCACACUGGAACUGAGACACGGUCCAGACUCCGACGGGAGGCAGCAGUGGGGAAUAUUGGACAAUGGGCGCAAGCCUGAUCCAGCCAUACCGCGUGGGUGAAGAAGGCCUUCGGGUUGUAAAGCCCUUUUGUUGGGAAAGAAAUCCAGCUGGCUAAUACCCGGUUGGGAUGACGGUACCCAAAGAAUAAGCACCGGCUAACUUCGUGCCAGCCGCCGCCGUAA
rnacentral:rRNA from 1 species